CCUAGGAGUCCACAAAAGAAGGCAGUACCAAAUAACCUAGAAUAAGGAAGUUUUAGACCCACUCAAGGGAACUAGCAAAGAAGCAAGAUGUCCAGUCACCUGGUCUUUAGGAUUCUUACGAUAGCAGGCGAGACUAAGCAGAAAUACAAAGUGUAGGUAAUUCUUUAUCCACUCUGCCGGAUCAAUCACAUUUGACACCUAAGGAAGGAGAAUUAGCGGCAUCUCCUUCGAGAAGAGCCCAUAUUCUUUCAGUAAUACUAUGAGAUAGAUUAGGAAAGACUUCGUUUUCCUCCAACUCCGGGUCAAGGUUUGCAUUUAGCUGAGGUAGAAGUUCGUUAGCAAGUGGAAAGUCAAAAGGGGGGUCAUUCUCUUCUAAUUGAACUUCCCCCCCAUCCUGUACAGGGGCUAAGCUUA
rnacentral:lncRNA from 1 species